rnacentral:rRNA from 1 species
UACGUAGGGUGCGAGCGUUAAUCGGAAUUACUGGGCGUAAAGCGUGCGCAGGCGGUUCGCCGUGUCCGAUGUGAAAGCCCCGGGCUUAACCUGGGAACUGCAUUGGUGACUGCAUUGCUGGAGUAUGGCAGAGGGGGGGUGGAAUUCCACGUGUAGCAGUGAAAUGCGUAGAGAUGUGGAGGAACACCGAUGGCGAAGGCAGCCCCCUGGGCCAAUACUGACGCUCAUGCACGAAAGCGUGGGGAGCAAACAGG